GACGAACGCUGGCGGCGUGCUUAACACAUGCAAGUCGAGCGAUGAAGUUCCUUCGGGAAUGGAUUAGCGGCGGACGGGUGAGUAACACGUGGGUAACCUGCCUCAUAGAGGGGAAUAGCCUUUCGAAAGGAAGAUUAAUACCGCAUAAGAUUGUAGUAUCGCAUGAUACAGAAAUUAAAGGACUAAUCCGCUAUGAGAUGGACCCGCGUCGCAUGAGCUAGUUGGUGAGGUAACGGCUCACCAAGGCGACGAUGCGUAGCCGACCUGAGAGGGUGAUCGGCCACAUUGGGACUGAGACACGGCCCAGACUCCUACGGGAGGCAGCAGUGGGGAAUAUUGCACAAUGGGGGGAAACCCUGAUGCAGCAACGCCGCGUGAGUGAUGACGGUCUUCGGAUUGUAAAACUCUGUCUUCAGGGACGAUAAUGACGGUACCUGAGGAGGAAGCCACGGCUAACUACGUGCCAGCCGCCGCCGUAA
rnacentral:rRNA from 1 species